UUUUAUGAGAGUUUGAUCCUGGCUCAGGACGAACGCUGGCGGCGUGCCUAAUACAUGCAAGUCGAACGCUUCUUUUUCCACCGGAGCUUGCUCCACCGGAAAAAGAAGAGUGGCGAACGGGUGAGUAACACGUGGGUAACCUGCCCAUCAGAAGGGGAUAACACUUGGAAACAGGUGCUAAUACCGUAUAACAAUCAAAACCGCAUGGUUUUGAUUUGAAAGGCGCUUUCGGGUGUCGCUGAUGGAUGGACCCGCGGUGCAUUAGCUAGUUGGUGAGGUAACGGCUCACCAAGGCCACGAUGCAUAGCCGACC
rnacentral:rRNA from 1 species